UCUCCGUUGGUGAACCAGCGGAGGGAGCAUUACUGGAAUCGCAAGAUCCCACAACCCCUGUGAACCUACCGAAACGUUGCCUCGGCGGGCGCCCGGCCCCGCGCCGGGCGUCGAGCCCGCCCGUGGCCCACUACUCUGUCUCUGCAGCGUGGCAUCUCCGAGUACAAGAAAAACAAGUCAAAACUUUCAACAACGGAUCUCUUGGCUCUA
rnacentral:misc_RNA from 1 species